rnacentral:lncRNA from 1 species
CUAUCCUCUUCAGCCUGCAGCGUGUUCUGCUCAUCCUUGGCCUUUUCUUCACUGGCCUCUUGCCCUUUGUGCCCAUUCGAGAGCAGUUCUUUGAGAUCCCAAUGCCCUCCAUCAUACUGAAGCUAAAAGAACCGCACAUUAUAUCCAAAGGUCAUAAGUUUCUCAUCUGGCUUUCGGACACCUUAUUAAUGCGGAAAGCUUUAUUUGACCACCUCACCGCCCGGGGCAUUCAAGUAUACAUUUGGGUUUUAAAUGAAGAGCAUGAGUACAAAAGAGCUUUUGAUUUGGGGGCCACGGGAGUGAUGACGGACUAUCCAACGAAGCUUAAGGAGUUCUUAAAUAACAUGUCAGCAUGAAGCACUCCAGAUCAUUGAGAGGAGUCAUGAUCAGAAAAGAUCUGAGGAAAGGUGUGUUAGCCACGGUUCCCCUGGGGUCUCCAGGACGAUAAAAGGUUUAAUCAGUUAAGUUUUAAUACCUCAUUUCUUAAGUCUGUAUGGGAAUGUAGAAACUUCCCUAAAUUGUAUAUUUAUUUUCUCCAAUAUUGCAUAUUUUACACUGGGAACUUGUUUGGAGUUAACCAGCGCUGAAAUGUAGAUCAUUGAUCAGGAUGUCUGCAUAUGAUGCAGUACUCUAUUAUUGUAAAUCUGAAAUCAAAGGCUAGAGGUAAAUUGGGCGUUAGCCUUCCCUGAAAUAGGAUCAACCGUGGUAAAAGGUUCCUGAGCGGGGCAUGGUAUCAUGAGCCUGCGAUCCCAGCACACGGGGGGCUGAGGCAAGAGGGCAGGGGUUUGAGGCCAGCUUGGGCUACAUAGUGAAAUGCCGUCUUCAAAAGUUUUUUUGUUUAGUUAAAAAGAAAAUUAUUGAAGGCCGUUACAGCCAUUUUGAAUUGUCUCGUAUGUCUAGGUGUAUUUUUAGUUAACGGAAAUACAGGGGAAGAGGAGUCUGAAAGAGAUGUGUAGUACUCGCCCAGCAGGGUGGAUGCUGUUCGCAGAGGGCAGAUUCAAGCAAGUAACAGUUUGUUAUUACUCAGAUCCAGGCUGUGGCUGAGACAGACUCCUGGGCUGCGGUUGUUAAUGGGGCAUCCCGGUUGGAGUCUUUUUUUCAGGUGUAUGACAGUGCUGUCAUGUCUAUUUUUUUACGUCUUUAAAAAUAGACAUUAUAACUAUAAAAUAAGACAAGAUCCAAUUAGUCUUGUUUUGUGUUUCCUCAAGAAAUACUCAGUUCUUAUCUUUUGGGCGCGACUAGGCUGAGCCUGGACCUGGGCUGUGAACUAGUGGUUGAGCUGGUGGAAGGAAGCGCGGCGCCACUGCGGGCAUGUUUAGCAUGAGCCACGUGCUCGAUCGCUAAGGCUCGGACACAGCGAGAGUUAACCCGCAUUAUACACCACUUCCUCUGCCUCCCGAUGUGACUUCACGCAGAUCUGCCUCUGGCCUUUUGACUAAUUUUCAUGAUGUCAGAUUGGGAGAUAAAUUCAGUGUAGAGUACUAGACGCCUUUUGCCUAGAUUACGUCUCUGCUGUGGGGCAGCCAUGGAGGACAGCCUCACCCUCCUUCUGUCGCUCUGUGGUCUAAAUUGUAAUAAAGUUUUCCAAGAAUGAAAUGAGGUCU